UUCUGGUUGAUCCUGCCGGAGGCUACCGCUAUUGGAGUUCGAUUAAGCCAUGCGAGUCGAGAGUCUUAGGGACUCGGCGUACCGCUCAGUAACACGUGGGUAACCUGCCCUAUGCUGGGGAAUAACCUCGGGAAACUGAGAAUAAUACCCCAUAGUUCACCACGCCUGGAACGGUGGGUGGAUGAAAGCUCCGGCGGCAUAGGAUGGGCCUGCGACGUAUCAGGUUGUAGGGGGUGUAACGUACCCUCUAGCCAUCAACGCGUACGGGUGUUGGGAGACAUAGCCCGGAGAUGGAUUCUGAGACACGAAUCCAGACCCUACGGGGUGCAGCAGGCGCGAAAACUUGGCAAUGCGAGCAAUCGUGACCAGGGAACUCCAAGUGGCUGGGGUAAUACCCAGUUUUUUCUUGACUCUUCAAAGGUCUUGGAAUAAGGGGUGGGUAAGGACGGUGCCAGCCGCCGCGGUAAUACCGGCGCCUCAAGUGGUAGUCGCUUUUAUUGGGCCUAAAACGUCCGUAGCCGGUCUGGUGCAUUCGUGGGUAAAUCAACCCGCUCAACGGGUUGAAUUCUGCGAGCACGGCCAGACUUGGGACCGGGA
rnacentral:rRNA from 1 species